rnacentral:lncRNA from 1 species
ACUUCAGCAAGAGCUAUUAUUAACGAAUUGGUCGAUUACCAGUGUGACCCAGAAGAGAAAGGAGCAUGCGACGCUGGAUGUGGAGGAGGCCUAAUGAACAGUGCCUUCGAGUACACUCUAAAAGCCGGAGGGCUCAUGCGAGAGGAAGACUACCCUUACACUGGCACUGACCGCAGCACCUGCAAGUUCGACAAGAGCAAGAUCGCAGCCAAAGUAGCAAACUUUAGUGUCAUCUCCAUUGAUGAAGACCAGAUUGCUGCUAACCUCGUCCAGAGUGGCCCUCUCGCUGGUAAAUAUUUGUCAAGCUUCAAUUUCCUCAAGUCCGCUCAUUCACUUUGCUCGCUUACCCUAUGUCCAAAGGCUAUAACUUGUUUCUGACUAGGGCAUUUUCAUAUUUUGCAGUGGCGAUCAAUGCGGUGUACAUGCAGACCUACAUCGGCGGGGUGUCGUGCCCUUACAUCUGCUCGAAGAGGCUAGACCACGGUGUGCUAUUGGUGGGGUAUGGGGAGGCAGGGUACGCACCGAUCAGGAUGAAGGAGAAGCCGUACUGGAUCAUAAAGAACUCGUGGGGGGAGACCUGGGGGGAGAGUGGCUACUACAAGAUCUGCAGAGGAAAGAACGUCUGCGGAGUUGAUUCCAUGGUUUCCUCUGUUGCUGCUGUUCAGACCACUGCUCAUUAGUAGCAAGAAGAAGAAGAAGAAGAAGAAGAAAUGGAAGCAUUGAUGAAUUGGGGGUUGUUUGUAUAUAGAGUAAUUUAUCAUCCACUAUUUCCAGAAACUGAAUUUGGGUGUUUUUAGUUUUACGCUAAUUGUUGCAGUUUACUAUAUAUAUAGAAACAAGGAACUCCAUUUGCUUUGCUGAUAUUUAUGAAAAGCCAAUGUGUUGUGUGCAAAAUGGAUUUGUGUCUGGUUUAUUAUAUUGGCUGCUUAUAAGCACUUGCUGACGGCUUCGCAUCUAAUGUACACCCAAUUCCUAUGGGUGUCUUCGAACUCGUCAAAUCGUGAAUCACUUGUCAAAAUAAUGGUCCUUAUAUGUUUACGUUUUGACUAUGAUUUAUCGCUGGUUUUAAUCGAUUGAACCACAUUACCGUUGUUCUUGCCGAUGUCUAAACCAUGCUUAAUAUUAUCUUCCCCUACCAAGAUUCUCCAUUUUAAGGCCAUGUAUCAUGCGAUCAUGUUCUCUAAUUGGGUCAGCAUCUGUAUAUUAUAAACGUCACACGCGUGUGAUUAUGUUACUGGAGUUAGAUGCAGCUCCCAACAACUAUAUAUACGCUACAAUAAUUGCUACAUCAUAAUGUAAUUGCGUAUUAACUUGAAUAAUCAUCGCAAUAAGUUUAUGAUACAGCAUUCAACAACACUACACGCCAUUUGCGGGGACUUCAUUUCAAUUACCAUAUUCUGCAAUUUAAGCAAAAUUGACCUGAUUAACGUGUUCUAAGCGCUGCUUAGAGUUAGUAAGGUGUUGUCUUCUCCCUGUUCGAACAGUAACUGUUCACAAUUUUCGAAUCUUAUCCCAAUUCAAGCAGUAACCUCGUUGUACGAUUAUCGAGCACCAUUCCUAGUGCCCGUCACACAUCACCACAGUCAAAUUCAGUACAAGUGAAGAAAGGACAACAAACAGGCAAACCUGGAAAUUGCAUUUUCUUCAAACAACUCAUCCACGUUACGUAUAGGAGAGCGAGCAUUCAAAGAUGGUGAAUCAACGAACACAAGUUAUUCAGCUUAUUACUUUUAUUACACAAUCAUGGCCAUAAAAACUGCCAGAAUUCUUGCCUCACACGGCAACAAACUCUACCUCAGGAAAGAACACAAGAUCGCAAGAUUCCUAAGUAAUCAACCAAUCGCCUUCUGAUCGUUCUACAGAGCGAGAUAGAUACUAACAAUAUUUGAGCAGGAGGAAUAAAGCUCGGAAUAUAACGAAUCCCGCGCUCCCCAUCUAUUCACACACGGAAUAAAUUAAAGCAACACUAUAUGUUAGACGAUGAUGGUUGAGUGUCCCGGUUGAUUGGAUUUACUCCUCUUCGUAAUCGAUUAGUGCAAAGGAGUAGGGACUGAACUUGUAUCCAUCACCUUCGUAGAACUUGUUCUGGAACUCUACCCAGUGGAGACGUAGAGCGUGGAGGAAGGCACUAAGAGUCUCCAUCACGAGAAGUACUCCGACGGUUGCGAAGAUGAAGACGAUGAUGCCGAUGAUGAGGAUGAUCACGUUGUUGAACCUGGAAAGGUGGGGGAAUUGCUACAUUAUUUUUCAUUCUAGAGAUGGAUAUGGUCGGUUAAUAAUAGAGAGAGAUUUAGAGGUUUACGUACCCCCAUGCAAGGAGCAGGACCUUUUCGUAGAAUACACUGGACAGUUCCGAGUGAGCAAGACUGCAGCCAAGAUAGACCGAGUUAACAAAAUGGUCGAUGAAUAACCACCGAGAAAUCAAUUUGAAUAUCGGAAGACACACCUGAGAGCCCAUAGACGGAGGUAAGAUGCUGUGUUCGAAACUGCUCCAAGGACGAAUUCGAUUGUGUGUAUCAUCUGAUGAACGAAGACUUCACUGAACUCGAAUUCCUCAUGACCAUGUGGAUCGUGGGCUGCUGCUACCAACUCGACCGAUUCAUCCCCGCUCGGGAGUGGAGCAUAUGCUUGGCCUUGGUGCGUCUGAUGAAACAUUACCAUCAGGAGAAGAUACAGAAAGAUGAAUUGAAAAUAACUAGGUAGAGAACCUAAACUAAUGCAGGAUGAAUUCCAGAUUGUUUGUUGUUACCUUCUCGUACUGCCUCUUCAAAAGGAAAGGCUUGGGGAACAGCAUCCACGGCACGGAGACGAGGGCCAGCAACAACAAUAUCUUGUGACCAUGAGGUUUGAUCUUCUUAUAACCUUCCCUCUUUACAUAACUUCAGCAAGAGCUAUUAUUAACGAAUUGGUCGAUUACCAGUGUGACCCAGAAGAGAAAGGAGCAUGCGACGCUGGAUGUGGAGGAGGCCUAAUGAACAGUGCCUUCGAGUACACUCUAAAAGCCGGAGGGCUCAUGCGAGAGGAAGACUACCCUUACACUGGCACUGACCGCAGCACCUGCAAGUUCGACAAGAGCAAGAUCGCAGCCAAAGUAGCAAACUUUAGUGUCAUCUCCAUUGAUGAAGACCAGAUUGCUGCUAACCUCGUCCAGAGUGGCCCUCUCGCUGGUAAAUAUUUGUCAAGCUUCAAUUUCCUCAAGUCCGCUCAUUCACUUUGCUCGCUUACCCUAUGUCCAAAGGCUAUAACUUGUUUCUGACUAGGGCAUUUUCAUAUUUUGCAGUGGCGAUCAAUGCGGUGUACAUGCAGACCUACAUCGGCGGGGUGUCGUGCCCUUACAUCUGCUCGAAGAGGCUAGACCACGGUGUGCUAUUGGUGGGGUAUGGGGAGGCAGGGUACGCACCGAUCAGGAUGAAGGAGAAGCCGUACUGGAUCAUAAAGAACUCGUGGGGGGAGACCUGGGGGGAGAGUGGCUACUACAAGAUCUGCAGAGGAAAGAACGUCUGCGGAGUUGAUUCCAUGGUUUCCUCUGUUGCUGCUGUUCAGACCACUGCUCAUUAGUAGCAAGAAGAAGAAGAAGAAGAAGAAGAAAUGGAAGCAUUGAUGAAUUGGGGGUUGUUUGUAUAUAGAGUAAUUUAUCAUCCACUAUUUCCAGAAACUGAAUUUGGGUGUUUUUAGUUUUACGCUAAUUGUUGCAGUUUACUAUAUAUAUAGAAACAAGGAACUCCAUUUGCUUUGCUGAUAUUUAUGAAAAGCCAAUGUGUUGUGUGCAAAAUGGAUUUGUGUCUGGUUUAUUAUAUUGGCUGCUUAUAAGCACUUGCUGACGGCUUCGCAUCUAAUGUACACCCAAUUCCUAUGGGUGUCUUCGAACUCGUCAAAUCGUGAAUCACUUGUCAAAAUAAUGGUCCUUAUAUGUUUACGUUUUGACUAUGAUUUAUCGCUGGUUUUAAUCGAUUGAACCACAUUACCGUUGUUCUUGCCGAUGUCUAAACCAUGCUUAAUAUUAUCUUCCCCUACCAAGAUUCUCCAUUUUAAGGCCAUGUAUCAUGCGAUCAUGUUCUCUAAUUGGGUCAGCAUCUGUAUAUUAUAAACGUCACACGCGUGUGAUUAUGUUACUGGAGUUAGAUGCAGCUCCCAACAACUAUAUAUACGCUACAAUAAUUGCUACAUCAUAAUGUAAUUGCGUAUUAACUUGAAUAAUCAUCGCAAUAAGUUUAUGAUACAGCAUUCAACAACACUACACGCCAUUUGCGGGGACUUCAUUUCAAUUACCAUAUUCUGCAAUUUAAGCAAAAUUGACCUGAUUAACGUGUUCUAAGCGCUGCUUAGAGUUAGUAAGGUGUUGUCUUCUCCCUGUUCGAACAGUAACUGUUCACAAUUUUCGAAUCUUAUCCCAAUUCAAGCAGUAACCUCGUUGUACGAUUAUCGAGCACCAUUCCUAGUGCCCGUCACACAUCACCACAGUCAAAUUCAGUACAAGUGAAGAAAGGACAACAAACAGGCAAACCUGGAAAUUGCAUUUUCUUCAAACAACUCAUCCACGUUACGUAUAGGAGAGCGAGCAUUCAAAGAUGGUGAAUCAACGAACACAAGUUAUUCAGCUUAUUACUUUUAUUACACAAUCAUGGCCAUAAAAACUGCCAGAAUUCUUGCCUCACACGGCAACAAACUCUACCUCAGGAAAGAACACAAGAUCGCAAGAUUCCUAAGUAAUCAACCAAUCGCCUUCUGAUCGUUCUACAGAGCGAGAUAGAUACUAACAAUAUUUGAGCAGGAGGAAUAAAGCUCGGAAUAUAACGAAUCCCGCGCUCCCCAUCUAUUCACACACGGAAUAAAUUAAAGCAACACUAUAUGUUAGACGAUGAUGGUUGAGUGUCCCGGUUGAUUGGAUUUACUCCUCUUCGUAAUCGAUUAGUGCAAAGGAGUAGGGACUGAACUUGUAUCCAUCACCUUCGUAGAACUUGUUCUGGAACUCUACCCAGUGGAGACGUAGAGCGUGGAGGAAGGCACUAAGAGUCUCCAUCACGAGAAGUACUCCGACGGUUGCGAAGAUGAAGACGAUGAUGCCGAUGAUGAGGAUGAUCACGUUGUUGAACCUGGAAAGGUGGGGGAAUUGCUACAUUAUUUUUCAUUCUAGAGAUGGAUAUGGUCGGUUAAUAAUAGAGAGAGAUUUAGAGGUUUACGUACCCCCAUGCAAGGAGCAGGACCUUUUCGUAGAAUACACUGGACAGUUCCGAGUGAGCAAGACUGCAGCCAAGAUAGACCGAGUUAACAAAAUGGUCGAUGAAUAACCACCGAGAAAUCAAUUUGAAUAUCGGAAGACACACCUGAGAGCCCAUAGACGGAGGUAAGAUGCUGUGUUCGAAACUGCUCCAAGGACGAAUUCGAUUGUGUGUAUCAUCUGAUGAACGAAGACUUCACUGAACUCGAAUUCCUCAUGACCAUGUGGAUCGUGGGCUGCUGCUACCAACUCGACCGAUUCAUCCCCGCUCGGGAGUGGAGCAUAUGCUUGGCCUUGGUGCGUCUGAUGAAACAUUACCAUCAGGAGAAGAUACAGAAAGAUGAAUUGAAAAUAACUAGGUAGAGAACCUAAACUAAUGCAGGAUGAAUUCCAGAUUGUUUGUUGUUACCUUCUCGUACUGCCUCUUCAAAAGGAAAGGCUUGGGGAACAGCAUCCACGGCACGGAGACGAGGGCCAGCAACAACAAUAUCAUCUGAUAGAAGGGGUCAAAUUACGAAUUAAUAAUCGACUCUUCCUUUCAUCUGGACGAAAUCUAUAAACAGGUAAUGUAGAGCUAGGUAACCUGAGCAUUUCUCUGUCCCGGGAAGAGUUGGUUUUCGCCAAGCUCGUCGGUUGGACUCAGGAACAUGUAGAUCAUGACAUGGUACAAAUCGGCUUUCGAGCCAGUUAUCCACUUAAUAAUGAUGAGGACGGACAAGUAGCCGAACAAGCUGUUCAAGAAUAUCAUCUGAGGAAUGAAUUGGAACCUGCAAAAAGGUCGAUGCGGCUGUUUUUAGCAGAUCGGUGAAGAUAAUAAGAUAUCGAAUUUAGAAAAGCACGAGGUCGACAUACACACCAGGUGUUUAAGCUAUUCUUGAAGUAUAGUGCAUUGAAAUAACUCAGUAUGAUCCCCAGGUUCAUCUGGGCAACUCCAAGAAGGAUCGACAUUUUCAUCUUCAGUGAAUUGAGAAACGGCAGCUCGCUGCGGGUACCGUGCCAUACAGGCGCAAAACCCAAUGGCCAUACAGGGUCAACACCAAAUGGGUAAGUAGGGCGCACUUUGAUCAGACCCAUGGUUGUGGAAUCCCUGGAAUUCGAGCAAAAGAAAAGAUCCGAUACGAUUAGGCACAUGCAUAGGCAGCCGUACAUGAUUUUCAAUUAGUUUACAGACUCAGAAGGUAAAGAUAACUACCCGCAAGAGGGACCACGGCAAUCAUAAGCAGUGCGGCCGAAUAAUUCGAAGGGCACUGAGAAGAAUUCGUUAUAGAUCAACCCGGUAUAAAUGGAGAACAGUGACAUCAUCAGGAUGACAUAACGACCGCCAAAUGCCAUUUCAGUGAUAUCUCCAAGCUUCUGCAGUUGUCAAAGAACAGGUUUAACCGAUUCAGAUCAGAGGAAUAUAUAAAUUAAGACCGUAUAAUUAGAGCUUGUUAGAUUCAGAUCAGAUUGGCUAGAGAGCAGUAUCAACCAAGCACCAACAAAUGUAUAAAUCAUCAGUUGGAUUUUGUUAAAUCGAUUAAACCUGCAAAGCCCUUACCUGGCUUGAUAAUUUCUUUUCUCUUGCGAUGAACACAAGUGUUGCAAGCAACAAACAUAUUCCAUGACCCCAAUCACCAAACAUGACUGCGAACAGGAAGGGGAACGUGACAAUAGUAAAUACACCUGGAUUUGCCUCUUGGUAUUUGGCCACACUGCAAAGUCGUACAAAGUCACACAUUAGCUUUCUAUUUCUAGAUAAAAUAUUUAACUCAAAGACCAAAAAACACUCAAGAUAAUACAAAGUACACAUAAGCAUACAAAUGUAGUUCUUCGUGACAAGUACAAGGCUUCAAUUCAUAUCAGAGGGUAUCUCAAUUGGGUCACAUCUACCAGUGAGUUGUAUUUCACAUAGUGGCACUUCCAUGACGCUAAGAGGCAGGCUGCACCACUAAGGAAGACCAUAGCAAAGGAUGGAAAGUGCAGAAACAAGUAGAUCGACAACACAUCUAGGAUUUCUUCAGACCAGCUAACUUAGAAAUGUCUUAACUAACUCACCCAUAUGCAUCAACGAUUUCUUGAAAGGCGGUAGUGAAUUUGUUUGUACGGAAAUAAGUAGGCGGUGCUUCCUUUGUAUCCAAAACUUGGAAAAUGGAUCCAAUUUGAGAAUUUGAAUCAAUUGACGCCCGGUGUAGUGCAUCUUGGAUCUGCAGAGAUCAAAAACUGAAGUUCAGCUGCAAUGAACUUUAACAUAUACGUCGAAAAUUGACCUUGAGAAAUAGCAACACGUCUUACCUGCUUACCGGCGAACACGGGACUCCAUCCCUCACCAACAAGACAUUUUUUUGUCACAUCAAGACUCAGCAUGUUGAGGGUGUGAUAGACAGAUUUCUCCUUCUUAACCUUCAAUGUUCAUGAUACCUCAAUUAGUGACCCAAACCAGUCCAAAUGAUAUUAAAGUUGAAUAAAAGUUGAUGAAUAGCUGUUCUUGCAGAAAAGAACAAUACCCCACCACCAAAGUUACUCAUCAGUAAAAAAAACUCUAGCUAGAGAACAAUUGGUGACGCUUAAUUUGGCUCGUGCUUACCAAUGAAUUCCACUGCUCGUAUUGUUUGCUAAUUGUCUUUAGCAAACUGUCUCUCUGAAGUAAACCUGCAUCGAUGGUGGUCUUCAUCUCUGUUAGCCUUCCAGUGACCUAACAGUAAGAGUAAAGUAAUCAUCAUCAUGCUGAAUGAAUUAAUCAUAUUAAUAAAUGAUCAAAUUUCAGAGCAGGAACAAGUCAGGCAGUAUUCAAGGGAACUAUAAACAUAGUAAAUAACCAAAGGACCUCUCUUUGUAUAGUAAGUUAGUACCACAUAAGACGUAAUAAUCACAAAAGCAGCAACCCUUCAGCAGAAACACGUCAGGCCGUGCGCUCAGAUCAGGCAAUUUAGCACAGAUCAUACGGAAGCAUUAUUCCUACGUAAACAGAUUUGUAUAGCUAUAACUGUGGAACGACUCAUACCUGAUUAACCAUCUGACCUUGCUUGCUGACAUCCUCUGAGAAAGGAUAACGAUUUGCACCAAACGCGUCACAUAUUUUAAGUAUUUUGGUCUUUGCUCUUUCUCCAGAAUAGAAUAUGACGAAAACAUUCUUCUCAACCUGCAUAUCACCAUUUGUAAGCGAGAAACGAAGAGGAUAAUCCCACACAUGACAAAUGAUUUGCUUCACGAACCACCUAUGAGUGCAAAGUUUUCAAGAAACCAACAAACAAGAGAAGUGUUGCAGAAUCACCAGUAAACAUAAGCAUGGUGGAUGGACGAGUGAAACUGGUGGAAAAUAUUGCACUCGAUAAUACUCAAAUUACGUAGUUAAGUAGAUUAGUGUCAUAAUUUCCUUCAGACAUUACUAUCGGGCCUCUGGAAAUCAGCAUUUCAGUACGGAUAGUUGUAGGUCCGCGGAACUGUCAACUUACAGAGAUUAUGUCGCUUGAUAAAAAUCAGAUAAUCUUAGUUUAAAUAGAUCAGUAUCGCGGCAUGAGCAAUUUUGGCUUCUAUUUUUCAGGCAUUGCGUCUCGAGAAAGACAAGAAUCAGCACCUCAGUGAGGAUAAUGGUAGGCCUACUGACCUCCACUGACGAUAAUAAAAAUAUAAUAAUUUAACAAUGCAUGCGACAAAUUAUCUCCAGUUUCAAUAACUUGUUUUGGAGAAAGUAUAAGGGCACCAGAAUAAGUAAGAAGAUACAUACCUUCUCCCCAGAAACAGGAUCAGUAACAGGUUGAUCAACUGCAGUCUGCCUGAGGAAUACAUUUCCCCUUGUAGCACGGAAGAUAAUCCUUUCAAACGCCAAGGAUUUCUCUUUGGAAACCAAGCCAGUCAGAAACCCCAGCUUCACUUGCUUUGACGAAUCAGUUGCUGCUUCCUACACAUUGAUCAUCAAGUUCAAAUUCUGCUAAAGAAAAUACAACGAUAAUUGAAGCUCAGAUUGGCUGGCUGCCAUACCUGGUCCAGUAAAGGAGUCUCCAAUGAUCCUUCCCCAGAUUGAGAUUCAAUUUCCCUCUGCUGUGCAGCUGCACUGUUUAGAGCUGAAGAGAAAAAUUCCCCAGCCUGAAAAUAAAAAUUCAUCAGUGAAGGACUACAGCCCAAGUUUAAGUUAAAUGAAUAUGCAAAUACUUCAAUAAAUUGUACAUUAAAUCUUCUAUUAAGCAUAUGAGGCCGAGUGGUGGGGAGGGAAGAUAAAUUCUUCACACAGCUGUUUGUGAUUAUUUGGCACCAAGGGAACAUAACUAAUGCUUUUAACUCAGAAUUUAACCAAUAGCCAGGGGUAAAGGCAAAUUCUGACAAAUUUCAUACAUGCAAAUGAAUUGAGCCAUGCAAUUACUGCAUGGCCAAAUUCAAAAUGAUGUUUAAAAAAUCACAGAAUAUAAAUAAGUGCACUGGUAAAAAUUUGACGAUGGAAGUGCCAACUGCCAUAUAAGUUAUAACAUCCCGCUAGUUCUUUAUCUUUACAUAGAAAGACUCCAGAAAACCCAGUUCAUGCUUUAUUUUAUCUCUAGUCACCAGUAAGUGAAAAGAAGACACCAUCAUCAACUGUUAUUACAGGAAGAGUGUUAGGUCACCCAAUCCUCUUUAUUCAACAACUCAAAAUUCAUUAUGCUAUACUAAUAAUGGAAAUAGUAACCCAAGACAGCAAGUACGGCGAACCAAAGACCCCACACAAAAGAUAUGUGAACUAACCUUCUGUAGGACAAGCUUAUACUCUAUAAGUUCAUUAUAAGCACGCUGCAACUUAUCGUCAUUUGCAUUCACUUCAACCAGCUCUGCCUCGAGUUCCCCAAGUUUGACCUAGAAUGCCAAACGGUGAAAUGACAACUAAGAGAGUAAGUUAUGUUGGAAACAGAGCAUUCUUGGAUAUGACAAUCAAAGAUACCUCCAAGUCAUCCAUGUUGAUAUCAGCUUGCUCCUCCAGUUUAGUUACGGGCAACACACCUGCCUUCUCCAUUUGCUCUUUGAAGAACCUUAACUUUCGGGCCAUCUCUCCAGUUUUUUUAAUCUUAAAAAUAAUGAGAAGCCCCGUUAGCCCAAAGAUAACUUAGAGGUUUAAACGCUAGUGAAUUGUUCCUGCGUCAUGAGGCAAUGAAUACGCUAUCUAUAUAAUACAGCAUAAGCUCCAAAGUCUAGACUAAUUUCAGCUUAUAUUUCCUUAGAUUGAAAGGAUGGUGUAUAAUAUUACAUUACCAGCCUCUCAAUCUUGAAGUAUAUAGCAAGAAACAACUUCGUGGGUACAGAAACUUAUUUACUUUGAUUCUACCACUUCCUUGAUUCGACAGGGUUUUGCAACAUACAGCAACAGCUCGAUUUUGUAGCGCCUUAAGGCUUCCCAAUCACACGAAGCAACACUUGAUUGAAAAUUGUUUCAAAUGUGUCUUACCGUAGUGCGUUACGUAGUUCUAGGGAAUCACAUAUAUAUAAUACUAUGAUUAACCAGCUUGUAAGCAACGCCAUUCAACUUUUUUGUAACGACCAAUGUUCCCAUUUUAAAAACGUAAACAUCAAAUUGAACAAAAACAUACAACAUCAAGAUAAUCAAUCGCCUUAGCUAACACAAUCCACAUUUCCAAAAAACAGGGAAAGAAAGAAAGAGAUUGCACCUGAGCUGCAUAAGCUCUCUGAAAUGGGCUCUUAUCAGAAUUGAGCUGCGGAAAACAAAAAGAAACGAAAAGAGUCAGCUUUUAAGAAGAAACAUUAUGAACAAUCACAAUCCAAGUAGCGCGCAAAGUCAGACACCAUCAACGAACCAAACAGCCAUUUCCUCGCUCUCGAGACAAUGGACAGUCAGAACGACGUUCGCAAAUUCAAUAAUACCCUAACUAGUAAUUCAGCAGCAGCUGAAAGAGAUAAGGAGAUGGAAGGGAGGAGUACUCACAUCUUUGAACUGAAUGAGGCCGAGGUCGCCGAGGUAAGAGACGGUGAGAUGAGAGGACUCGAUAGGGAUGAUGAGCUGGAUGAGGUGCAUCGGCUCGGAGCGGAAGAGAUCCAUGGGAGGGCAGCAUCCUCCUCCACCUGCGCCAGCCAUUGUUGUUGAGAUCUCGGGGAAUUUUUCCCGAUCGCAGAUCGGCCGAUGAGAUUGAGUGUUGGUCUGACAGAGAAGUGGGAAUAGUAGAAAUCUAAUUAUAAUUAUCACGAGCCGGUGUUUCUACUUCUCUCUGGUAUACAGACCAGACCAGACCAGAGCAGAGAGAUGGAGAGAGAUUGAUUGUUCUUCGUCGUCUCUGCUCUGCUUAGCUAGCUAGCCCACCACACGUCAAGCUUCCACGUAGUAGUAAUCUUCUCCCUCCUUCUGGUUCUAUCAUGGGCCCUUGAUGGGCCUAUUUUGUGAUUAUUCAACCACAACAAUGAUGGGCCUCACUAAUAUUGAAGUCAAUUUUGCAGGCUCGACGGACUGUGGAGCAAUAUAUUCAAUUCUUUGGGAUUAAUUUCACCUAAUUUUCACAACCAAAUCUUUUUAAAAGGGAAGAAUGUGGCUGUAAAUUUGAAUUUGAACUUGAAUUCCAACCGAUUUCAUAAUUCUAGCCGGAUAAACCCGUUUCAGUUAAUUAUAGUUCAAUCCAUUUUAAUUAAAUCAUCAAACUUAAAAAUUGACUAACCCACAAAAUAAUAAGAAGCUUACAAGAGUAUAUAUCCAGCAUACUGUACUUCAUUUCUAGACCAUUUCUUACAUGUCAUAAUGGGCUAUAAGGUCUUAAAAUAUCUAGCAAUCAUUGAUCAACUCUAGUCAAGUAAAACCACACCGUAGAAAGUGUACAGCUGCAACUAACUUUUCCUCCUUCCUUUUACGCUCUCUUUACACUGUCGCCAUGAACAACCACAAACCCUUCACUCGCCAUUGUUGCAACUGCGUUUCUCAGCUGAAAAUAAACGAUUGAAGAAGACAGCUUAUGCUUUCCAUCAAUGAUCUCAUAUUCAGUUAACAAGGAUAUGAAAAGGGCAUGAGAAAGCCAGCCUUACAUCAUGAAGGUGAACAUCAACCACAGAGCUCUGCUUCUUUAGCUCCUCCAAUAUCUGAGGUCAAACACAUAAAAAAAACAUUAUGGUUAUUUUAUAUAUCAGGAUAGGAUGUCCUAAGUAGAUGUGGUGCAGAGACUAGGAUGGUACCUCCAUUAACCGCAUCGAGGGUCCUCCGAUUUGUAACUUCUCCAUGAUUAUGUUGGUCGUUGCUGUUACGAGAUUUUCCCUUCUCAUCCUCUCGCUGGCUGAAACUCCGGUUGUUAUGAGAUCCAUGUCGAUUGUUCCUGCAUUACACAGUGCCAGAGAAGUUGUUUCAGCACCAGAUGAUGAUCAGAGAAAACCAUGUGGGAGGAGCAAUGAGAGUAUAUGGCUUAGCUACCUGUAGAGUGAUCUGUUGCAGACUGCUGCAUAGCAACUUCAAGAAGCCGGAAUGCCUCUGUUACAUCAUUCUUUUCAACCUGCAUAAUCCCAAAGGUAUGACAUCAUAACCCACCUACAGAAGAAAUGUUACAAUGCUGAAGCAGAAAAUAUGAACUAACCUGUUCGGAGAAACGAAUUCGAGCAAGUGCUUCACUGAUACGUAUCAAGCUCUCUAUUUGUCUAGGUGUUGCAGUUAUGACCUGAAGGAUAUUGCAUACAAAGGAUAUCAGAUCAAAUAAAAGCACCGUCGUUUGUCAAGGUUCAUGGAAAGUUCAUAAUUUUUUAUAUACUACUAGUUUCAGACACACAACAUGCCUUUUUGCUACUGCCGGGGAAGUUCCCUCUCCUUCUCAUUUCAACAUAGCCACGAGUUAGUUCCUCAGCAGCUUCGUCUGAUAGCUGAGGGUGAAUAUGGUUACGAGCAUAGGUUAUAUAUGUAGUUAAUGUACCAAUAUCUAAAACACCCUGCUGUGCGAUCUGCAAGGUAGAUGAAAAAGCUCCUUGAUUAAGAUCAAUCCAAAAUAAUGAAGGUGGGAUUAAGAUUAAUGUCCGUUACUCAGGCUUGUUGCAGUAAGUUAAAGACCUCGGGAUCUUCGAAGUGUAAAGCCACGAUGUGUCUUGCUAGGUGCCUGUCUGUUUGCUCAUCGGCUUUGUCAAGGAUCAAAUAUAUCAAAUCAAACCUGAGAAAGUUGUUGUCUCGAUAAGUUGUCGUAACUCAUAACAAUAUCAUUUCAAUUCAUAGCUAAAAUGGACAUGCAAUCAAGAACGAAUAUGACAAUAUCAGUACAAAAUAUGUUUCUUUACCUGGAUAACAAGGUAGGAGGCAAGUGUAUGUUGUCGAUGACGGAUAACCUGGGGUUAUAACGAGAACCGAUUGGAUUGGCACAAGCCAAAACUGAUGUUCUGGCAUUAAGAGUAGCAAUAAUCCCAGCCUUCGCAAUAGAAACAGUUUGCUGCUCCAUGACCUGCAAGAAGCAAAGCAAGGACUACAAUUUCAAGCAUUGUUCACCAACUAAGCCGCACAAAAGCAUAUAACAAACAGCACAAGCAGAUAACAACUGAUGUGUGACAGUGAUGUUUUUUCCUAUCUUGUUCUGCUACAAUUUCCGUAAUAGAAAACUGUUAUACUAUAAAGGAUGCAAAUCUUAGAAAAUUAUUCAAGUGUCAGAAAAUAUCAUAUUUAUCAAGGGUCCUUAUACAGAGAAUAUAAUCAUACCUCAUGUAACAUGCUUCUGGCAUUUUCAGACAUUUUGUCAAAUUCAUCAAUGCAACAUAUGCCUCUGUCACUCAAGACAAGUGCUCCACUCUCCAGUACCUGCAAAGAUCUAACUUGGCUAUAAUUGACUUAUAUGCUUUAGAAACUGGUUGUAUAAAUAAGUACACAGAUCAUAUGAAAAAUGAGUAGCUAUGUAAGACAAAUCAUUCAUAUUACCGUUUCCUUUGUUUCAGGAUCUUUGCUGACAUAAGCAGUCAAGCCAACAGCAGAGCUUCCCCUUCCACUGGUAUAAAUACCACGAGGUGAUAGCUUGUGUAUGUACUGGAGCAGCUGAGACUUGCUUGUACCAGGAUCACCAACCAGUAGGAUGUUUAUAUCACCACGGAAGCUCGCACCAGAUGGUAAUUGCAAGGCAUUCCCACCAAAGAGCUAAACAAUGAGUCAUAAAUUAACCAUGGAUAGGUGCAACAAGGUCGACAGUUGUUCACAGUGAAGAAAAGCAACAGCAACCCAAACACGAAAGGUACCUGACAAAGAAGGCCCCUUUUCACAUCAUCUAGCUCCCAAAUGUUUGGUGCCAAAGACCUGGUUAAUCUGUCGUAUAUAUCAGGCAGCUUUGAAAGCUCUCUCAACUGCUUUAUCUACAAUUUCAAACAAGAAUGAAUCCGAGAUCAAAUAAAUGAAGUAUGAGUCUCGCUAUGCCUAACUGAAAAGAAAGUCUUAACCAAUACCUUCUCUUCAUCAAAUUCAACAUCUUCAUCACAUUUUUCAGGGCCUUUAUCAGUUUCCAUGGCAUCCAUUCUUGACUUGUCAGUUUUCUUGAUAUGAAGGCAGUCAAUGUAAGUCUGCAACCACAGCAAAAAUAUGGUACACCACUUAGACAGAAUUAUAUCCCAAUAAAAGCUCCAUUGCUCAAGUGCCACAGAAAGAUUAAACCAUGCCUUGAAUAGUGACUUCACAGUUCUUUGAGUGGGUCCAACCCUGACGCUCAUAGCCCUAUAAAUUCCAGUCACCUGCCGAAGAAAGGUUACUUCAUCAGUCAAAGUAAUGAUAGCAAGUAAGUUCAGGCAUGUCAUGAUGAUAAACGGAAGUGAACUACUGAUUGCCUUACCUCAACUCUGUCACCUGGCUUUCCAGCAUCGACCAGCUUGUCGUGCAUCAAAAGACUGACCGUAUGUGGUGUUCCACCAUCAGGGAUCUCAUCUGGUGUCUCCUGAAGUCUCACAAUCUGCUUAUCAGCAAACCUGAAGCCAAGAAAUAGGAGCGUCAGUUUCAGAAAUUCUUACGUGAACAAAGAAUUCCGACCAGUUGGAUACUAUACUAUUGCCCUAAUAAUAUUUAUACACAAUCAAACCAAAUGCAAAAGUUACCUGCAGCGGUUGUGAACUAAUGUCAUAGCAUUCUUUGCCUGACAUUCUUGCUUCAGGCACGAGGUAGGUUCACUGAUCCGACCUGCCACCCAAUUUCACACAUUUAAUUUGCAUCUCAAACAACAUUAUACACAAAAGGCAUCCAGCUAACAGCUGAAGCACUCUUACCUCUGUCUACAACAAUAGGAUCAGAGAAGUAUCCGCACACAAGGCAUCUAAAUAUUGCCUCUCUGAUCUCCGGUAUGAUAGAACUAGCCCGAAUUAUCAUCCCCUUCAGUGACACCAUCUUCUCAAUGUCUACAAAUAUUGCACCAAAUACAAUCAACAUUUUCUACUAACCGCAAACCGUAUACAAAUGAUCACCAAUUAGUCACGAAAAUUGGAACUACAACCUUCACGGAAACAACUAAAACAAACAAAAAUGCUAAAGAAUCACAAACAAAUGUACUGGAAUAUCAUAUUCACAAAGGUGCAUAGGGUGGAAGCUCACCUGAAGGGUUGAGAUUUCUCAUGCUAGUCGAGCUCUUCAGAUUGAAUAUCCGAACUUGGACAUGCUUUUCAAAUAGCGGGUUGGUCAGACUCACCAUAUCCAUCAGUACAAUAUCGAAAAUCGCCAGAACCUCAAGCGGAUACCUAACCAUCUUCCCAUACAGUUCAGUAUUAUAAUUAAACACAUCGUGUGCAUCAACAUCCAACCAUUCCCCUUCAAUCUCCAACACCCUGUGGAUCGCCUUCAUGUAUUUCCCUUCUUCGUAAAUCUCAGUCCCUUGACUACUCCUUUCAUCCCUAAAGUUCUUCAGAAACAUCUGAAUCGCGCUCUUCACAUCCUGCACGCUGAUAUUCGUUCCCCAAACAAAAGUCGGAGCUGCCGCCUCGUCCAUGUCCUCCCCAGCCUCGGACGAAGGGGCGCCCUCCGAAGUGGAGGAAGGCGUCGUUGGACGUCCCCGGCGGAAGGUCGAACCGCUAUGGUGCGGAGUUGGAGUUGACUCUGAAUUGGCGAAACGCGAGUUGUUAGGGUUAGGAGGAGUGUCGUAUCCGGCGGAUCUGCCUCCUCUCCCUCGUUUUCUCCGGCGAGAUCCUCCAGCUGCCGGAGAAGAAACUGCGUCUCCGAUUGGACUUGAGAAUGAGUCAUCCGGCGACGAAGGUGCUGUUAACAAGAUUUGUUAACUAGGUUAAAAAUGCAAUUGCUUCGAGUAAACGAGAGUAAAUGCAUAUACUGGUGCAAGUAGAUGAAGAAAGGGAGCUUACUAUUGUUGAAGCGAGUCGGAGUUGUGUCGGAAGCCAUGGCUGCAGAGAGACGUCGGACGGUCGGAGACGGAGAAAUGAAUGCUCGGAGUUUAAUGGAGGGAAAAAGCUUCAAGGGUAGUGUAUUUUGGCGCUGUAUAUCGGGAGCAAUUUAAGCGGGAAACGGAUGAUCUUCGCGCCAGAUUUAGUGGGCUUAAUAAGCUAGUGCCGUGGCUUUUGGGCCGGAUACCUUGUGGACCGAGACGUGGGCCGGUUGAGUUGUUAUAUGGAGUUAUUUGCACGCCCCAUUCUAUGUUGGGCAUGUAGCCUGCUAGCCCCAUAAAACAAUAAUGUAGGAUCGACGGUCAUCGAUAAAUUGAUUAAUCAUUAUUUUUCGUUGAACAAUAAUUCAAUCAAAAAUAUCAUAAAAACACACCCAAUAAAUUCGUGUUACAAUUAAGAAAUUGUACGCAAUUAGGGCUUUUCUACAACCCAAAAACCACCCACCAUCGAAUGUGUAUAGCAAUUACAAAGUUGUAAAUUCGGUUUGGUUUAGGAAUAUCCUUGAUCCAUUGAUCGUUAUCUUGAAUAUACAUAUGAAAUCAACUAGUAUGCUUUCCACGUAAUUAGUGAAAACUUAUUAAAGAAGUGGAUUCAUGCCCAUAGUUACCAUCUAAUUAGUGAAAACUUAUUAAGGAUGAUUGCCUUGCCCUUUCAGAAAAAAAUAAUGGUCAGUAGCUAUCUCCAAGAGUCGAGCAUAAUUAGAUUCACAACAUCAAUGAUUAAACAAAACAAUGAGACAUCGAAGGGUGCCCAUGCGUGUGUUCUUAAUUUGUAGCAAUCCUUAAACUAUACGGAUUGUUUAGUUUCUAUAUAUUCAACUAGUUGAAAUUAAGGUGGCUUCUAGUUGUUUGGGUAUGUGGAAUCUGUGUCUACUUUGUACACAUGCCCCCAACCAUUUAUAUAACGCCAUCGAAAAAAGCAAGAGGCUUUUUUUUAUAAGUAUAUAUGGGAUUGGUGAUUUCUGUUAGGUUAUAGAGUCGGAUACGUCGAACAUUUAUAAGUAAUUGAAUUAAAUUUUGAUGUUAUGAUAAUUUUGGAUUGUUUUGUGAUUUUGGCCGAUGGGUUGUGCCUUAUCCUUUUUUCAUGUAGUUGGUAUAUAAUGUAUUUCUCAUCAUUACAAUCGGUAUCAUCAAAACAAAUUGAGUAGAUGUGGGGCUACUCAGGUCGGUGCCCCGUUCAUUUGUGAUUAUAUUUUUUUAAUAAUUUGGCGUAUUUUCCAAAUUUUUCUCAGUAAUAUUUUUGAAAAUAUUUAAAUAUUAAAUAUGCCUCAUUAGUAGUCGCUAUCCCUAACUUAUUAGCGUCUCAAAAUAUACUCUUUUCACGGAAGGAGAACUAGGUUAACAAAUUAUUCCAUUCCAUAUUAUAAUUUUUCGUUAGUGAACCAUCUAGAAGCUUUUACAACAUGAAUUAUCAUUAAAAAUAAAACCCUUACUAUAGUCUAAACAAUUUAAUGAUCUAAAUCACAAUAGUAAUUCUUUGGAAUCCUUGUUGUCACUUUGUUUUCGUAGUACAACGGCAUAUAUUCCCAUUUCCAAUUAUAACAAUAUAUUUUGAAGUGUGAUUAUAUAACAAUUAUAGAUAAUUUACCAAUUAAAUCCUUUUCGUCAAAUUCUUUCAAUAAUAACAAAAUAAAAGAUAAUUUAAUACAAUGUUGGUGGCAGAACACAACUAGUAAUUUUAUUCCGUAUGGAGAGUGGGAAGAGGGAAAGUGCAUGAAAAGGGAGGAGGUGGAGCUACAACAACUCCAGCCACGGCGGAGCUUUGUCGUCGUUCGUUUUGGGGACCUUGGUCGUACAGGAUUCCCUUGAAGAGAUGGCCUCCGAUGCUCACACUCGUUCGAUAUGCGUACUCGUCGUAAAGUCUAUCAUCAUCUCCAUGGUUUCUUCCACUAUCCAACCUCAUCGAGCUCGCUACUUUGCAGCAAUGGAACGUAGCCAUCGAAGUCACUUCCCGAGGGAAAUCAUCGCUUUCCAUGUCUACAAAAUGUACUCGUCAAACUACUGUUAUAAAACCAAUUCAAAAUAUCUUCCAUUAAUAUUAUCGAGCAAUGUUAGAGACUGUAAAUAGUUUGUAACAGUUUAAAAAGCCUCAAAAUACAACAUGAGAAAAAGGAUUCUUGCAAAUUGCUAGUCUUUAUACAACAACAAACUGGUAGCACAUAACUCUACCAACCGAGAUACCUCCAGUUCUACGGUUACACGACUAUUAGACUACAAUUUCUUUUCGCAUUUGAUGUACUAUAUGAUCAAUUAAUUAGUUGGAUAUAUACCUGAGGGAUUAUGGUGAUGGUGUAGUUGUUGGGAGGUGGGAAGAUGAGUAGCUGAACUUCCCCUAGCAGUUGCUUGCUGUAGGCGCCUCAAGGAAGUGGGAACCCAAGUGCUGGAAACGUGGGUUUGGCACUCCAACUUUCUCCUGUUGCAGCAUCUCCUGCAUCUCCAAUAUCUACACUCCCUCUUUGCCUGAUUCCCACAGUCUUCACACCUCCUCCCCGCCGCCCCGCCACCACCUCCUCCUCUCAUACUCCCCACCGACGUCUCUCCUCCGCCGUUCAUCAUGGCUAUAUAGCUGGUGGUUCACUACUGUAGUGAGGCAAUUAUAUAUAGCUACUUCACUGUGUAGUACGUGCUUAUUUUCUUUAAUUAAUAGUUGGCGGUGGUUCCACUGCUUUAUUAACUUUCUAUACAAAUAUUUACUACUUAUUAUUUAGUAUUCUUUUUUUUAUACAAAUAUUAUUUAGUAUUCGUUAAUUAAAUACAUGUACUUAUUAUUUAUUAAUUAGUCCUACCAAAAAGAAUUAUUUAUUAAUUAGUAUCAUUUCUCCUAAUUUUUUCUGCUUUCCUAGGGGGCAGGAAGGGUCCUUCCACUUUACAUGUAUGGAAAAAAGUAUGUUUAUAUUUUAUUUGUUAUAUGCUCGAUUUAUACUCCUUUAUUGUUUUGUUUGAUAAAGAAAUUGGAAAGAUUUCAAUUUAAACUAAUACCUUCACCCUAUACUUCAGCUUGAAGCAAUGGUCCGUUUAAGAAGCUAAAUUUACUGCAAAUUUUAUCCAAGUUUUCGAGUAACCGGUUAAAUUUCGGUUACUCAAUUUGAAUUGUUUUCUUAUCUCAUAAUGAGACAAAAUUACUAGUUUGUUAUAAUUUAUUAUAGUAGGAGAAACUUUCUAAAUUAACCUAAAUUAUUUUAAUGAAUAUCAAUAUAAUAUUUAUUUUUAUUAUUUAUUUAUAAAAAAUUUCGGUCUAUUUCAAAAGAAAAUAUUUUCUCCAUAAGGGUAUCCUUUACUGUUUUUUUGGGUUAGGGUAUCAUUUAUGAUAAUUGUCUGCUGAAAAUUAUUUUAAAAUCGUGAUCGAAUCAUAGAAAAUUUACCAGACUAUUCGGACCUGGCCCAAUACUCAUUGGACUAUACGAUAAUAGCCCAGACCUAAUUGUAGCCCACCAAACUUCAAAUUACAACCUGAUAAAAA